rnacentral:rRNA from 1 species
UACAGAGGUGGCAAGCGUUGUUCGGAAUUACUGGGCGUAAAGAGCGCGCAGGCGGUCGAUCAAGUCGAGUGUGAAAGCCCCCCGGCUCAACUGGGGAGGGUCAUUCGAUACUGAUCGACUCGAAGGCAGGAGAGGGUAGUGGAAUUCCCGGUGUAGUGGUGAAAUGCGUAGAUAUCGGGAGGAACACCAGUGGCGAAGGCGACUACCUGGCCUGUUCUUGACGCUGAGGCGCGAAAGCUAGGGGAGCAAACGGG